rnacentral:rRNA from 1 species
AGUGAACGCUGGCGGUAGGCCUAACACAUGCAAGUCGAACGGCAGCACAGUAAGAGCUUGCUCUUACGGGUGGCGAGUGGCGGACGGGUGAGGAAUACAUCGGAAUCUACUUUUUCGUGGGGGAUAACGUAGGGAAACUUACGCUAAUACCGCAUACGACCUACGGGUGAAAGCAGGGGAUCUUCGGACCUUGCGCGAUUGAAUGAGCCGAUGUCGGAUUAGCUAGUUGGCGGGGUAAAGGCCCACCAAGGCGACGAUCCGUAGCUGGUCUGAGAGGAUGAGCGGCCACCUUGGAACGGCGACACGGUGCAGACGCCUACGGGAAGCAGCAGUGGGGAGUAUGUGACAAGGGUCGCAAGGCUGAACCAGCCGUAGCGCGGAGGGGAAUAAGGCCUGCUGGUGCUAAAGCCCUGGUGUGGGAAAAAAAAAGAAGCAGGUUGAGACCACGCUGUCCUGAGGGUAGCCAAAAAAGAGGCACGGGCUAACUUCGUG